rnacentral:lncRNA from 1 species
AAUGUGGCUGUCCAGGCAAGGAGCUUCUUAGGCAAUAGAAAAUCAGUCCUCUCCUGAACUGCAUCUGACUGAUAAUCUCAUAUAUUGACUUAAAAAUGUGCAGUAUAUAGAUUAAGAAAUGUAAGAGUUUAUAGUCUUCGAAUCAGUGUACCUAGAAUUUCCUUGCUCCACCACUCAUGUUGGGAAAAUUAAGGGCACUUUCUUCAACUAGGAGACCUUUGCCAGAGCAUGUGAAGACCUUCUUGGCAAACACCAGCCAUGCUCACUUCUCACCAUCCCCCAGUGCCACCUACUCUCUGCUCAACACUCUCCAUGCCCCUCCCAGAGCCAUUGAUCCCGUUCCACCAGAAGAUCACAUCUUAGAAAUGCCCCAGACAUCGUUGGACAUUUCUUCAUGCUUCAUGAGCUUCAAAAUCUUUUAAAAAUUUAAUGCGCUUAUGAAUCUCUAACAAGCUCCUAAAUAACUUGUAUGCUAUUGUUAAAAAACUCCAAAUAUUAAUAAGUAUUAGUAAAAUGUUGCUGUUAAUAGUAAAUCAGCUAAGCGUCAAAAUGCUACCUGGAAAAGCAAGCAGAAUAGACAUUCCAAUGUUAAAGGGCAUCAAGAGCAAGACUCUUAAAGAGCCUAUGAAAUCAUUUAAGUGUGAGAUAAAAAGGUUGGGAAUUUCAUACAUAUUUAGCAUUGCCUGAGAAAUGUCUCUAAGUUUUUCUUUUUUCACUCUAGAAUAUUACCAAAGUUGCAGUUAAUUACAUUUCUGCUGCUACAAAAACAUUUUUUCAUGCCUCAGUGAUUCAUGAAUCUUCCAUUGUGUGUAUUAGGCAGCAGCUCUUGUAGACAAUGACAGAGAAUA